GUGGGUAUAGUUCAGCAGUAGAGUGCAUGCUUAGCAUGCAUGAGGUCCUGAGAUCAAUCCCCAGUACCUCCG
rnacentral:tRNA from 1 species